rnacentral:rRNA from 1 species
UACGGAAGGCAGCAGUGGGGAAUAUUGCACAAUGGGCGCAAGCCUGAUGCAGCCAUGCCGCGUGUAUGAAGAAGGCCUUCGGGUUGUAAAGUACUUUCAGUCGUGAGGAAGGUGUUAAGGUUAAUAACCUUAGCAAUUGACGUUAGCGACAGAAGAAGCACCGGCUAACUCCGUGCCAGCAGCCGCGGUAAUACGGAGGGUGCGAGCGUUAAUCGGAAUUACUGGGCGUAAAGGGCACGCAGGCGGUUAAUUAAGUUGGAUGUGAAAUCCCCGGGCUUAACCUGGGAAUGGCAUUCAAGACUGGUUAGCUAGAGUCUUGUAGAGGGGGUAGAAUUCCAUGUGUAGCGGUGAAAUGCGUAGAGAUGUGGAGGAAUACCGGUGGCGAAAGGCGGCCCCUGGGACAAAGACUGACGCUCAUGUGCGAAAAGCGUGGGGAGCAAACAGGGAUUAGAUACC